GAUGAAGAACGCAGCGAAAUGCGAUAAGUAAUGUGAAUUGCAGAAUUCAGUGAAUCAUCGAAUCUUUGAACGCACAUUGCGCCCGCCAGUAUUCUGGCGGGCAUGCCUGUUCGAGCGUCAUUUCAACCAUCAAGCCCACGGCUUGUGUUGGGGACCUGCGGCUGCCGCAGGCCCUGAAAAGCAGUGGCGGGCUCGCUGUCACACCGAGCGUAGUAGCAUACAUCUCGCUCUGGGCGUGCUGCGGGUUCCGGCCGUUAAACCACCUUCAUAACCCAAGGUUGAUCUCGGAUCAGGUAGGAAGACCCGCUGAACUUAAGCAUAUCAAUAAGCGGAGGA
rnacentral:misc_RNA from 1 species